rnacentral:rRNA from 1 species
UACGUAGGGGGCAAGCGUUGUCCGGAUUCAUUGGGCGUAAAGAGCGUGUAGGCGGCCAGGUAGGUCGGUUGUGAAAACUGGAGGCUCAACCUUCAGAGGUCGACCGAAACCAUCUGGCUAGAGUCCGGGAGAGGAGAGUGGAAUUCCUGGUGUAGCGGUGAAAUGCGCAGAUAUCAGGAAGAACACCCGUGGCGAAGGCGGCUCACUGGCCCGUUACUGACGCUCAGGCGCGACAGCGUGGGGAGCAAACAGG